rnacentral:misc_RNA from 1 species
AAAUAAAAAAAAAAAAAAAACUGAUUAGUCAACAGAAAGAUGAUUAACAAUUAACAUGCAUAACCGUAUCCGACAUCAGCUAAGAAGCAUCAUGGCAAUAAGGAGCUCAAAUUUGUCCAUACCUACGAACUCCCGAUCAGCCUUCUCAGGUGUCGAUUAUUUAUACAAUUAAGCUACAUGUACUCUGUGACAGCGAUAUAUAAGAAGCAAUCCACAACUAAUUGAAGCAAGAAAGGAAUUUCCUCCAGGUUGAAAGGAAUUUCCUCCAGGUUGCACAUGUUCUUCUCAAGAUUUGAAACACUUCUCAUCUAGAGAGUGCUUAGUGUGCACGGUCUUUGAGUACCUCAAGAUCCAUCUCAGUUGGGUCAGUUGCCUGGAUUUCAUAAUGGAUGCCUUCCAGUGCUCUUCUGAACCUGUCCUUGGAAGUUGCAUAAAGCAUUUUUGCACGAAUGCGAGACACCGAAGGAGACCAUGCAAUGAAGAAGAUCUUGCUCUUCUGGCAAUUCUCGGCGGUGACAAAAUCAAAAUCAUAGAUAGCGUAUCUGCACUCGUUGGCGGGGAGAGUGGCGGUGAAGUCCUCGUAGGUCAUUUCGGGAUCGCCGAGCUGAUCGACGAUGACCUGCUUGAGCUUCUCAUCGAUCUUGAAGACGAUGAAGCGGUAGGUGCGCUUCGCCUUGAGCUCGAGGAACUUGAGCUUGCACUCGUCGUUCACCGCCAUCCCCGACGCGGCGUUGGCCAUGAUUCGCGGCGGCGAUCGGCGGCGGUGGGGAGAGAAUUUAGGGAUUUGGGGGAAGAGGCAGGUGGGCGCCGAUGAGGGAAAGGUGGAGGAGGAUGGGC